rnacentral:rRNA from 1 species
GACGAACGCUGGCGGCGUGCUUAACACAUGCAAGUCGAACGGAAAGGCCCUGCUUUUGUGGGGUGCUCGAGUGGCGAACGGGUGAGUAACACGUGAGUAACCUGCCCUUGACUUUGGGAUAACUUCAGGAAACUGGGGCUAAUACCGGAUAGGAGCUCCUGCUGCAUGGUGGGGGUUGGAAAGUUUCGGCGGUUGGGGAUGGACUCGCGGCUUAUCCGCUUGUUGGUGGGGUAGUGGCUUACCAAGGCUUUGACGGCUAGCCGGCCUGAGAGGGUGACCGGCCACAUUGGGACUGAGAUACGGCCCAGACUCCUACGGGAGGCAGCAGUGGGGAAUAUUGCACAAUGGGCGGAAGCCUGAGGCAGCAACGCCGCGUGCGGGAUGACGGCCUUCGGGUUGUAAACCGCUUUCGCCUGUGACGAAGCGUGAGUGACGGUAAUGGGUAAAGAAGCACCGGCUAACUACGUG